rnacentral:lncRNA from 1 species
GACGCCUGAUUGGCUAUAUUGGCAUCCGUGGAAGCUGGUAAAAAGCUGUGUGGUGUUUGCAAUGAGCACUGCACCUGUAUCUCCACAGCCGCCCUGGCACAAGGUGAGUGAGUUACCAGACACACUACCUACCUUCAGUCGGUCACCUGGGCCUGGCCAAGAAACCUCUUCGGGAACAACCGCAAGAGUUUUAUAAUCAGAAAUGUCUUGGAUAAUUAUGCAGAAUUGCUCAAACCCCAGGCUCCUGUCAGAAAUCAAAGUGAAGAAUCCAAAACAAGUUGCAUCUUCCAGAGGCACAAGCUCUUCAACUGCAACUGGAUGUACUUUUAUACAAAUAAAAACACCUUUCAUCCUUCAUUUAUGCCUGUGUGUGAAGUUUUUGAGGACUAUUACUGAAGGAGAAGACACAUGGCUGAGUGGAAAGAGGAGGAAAUUACUAAAGAGAAAUAUUCUGUACCUGGGAGUUGAGAAGAUAAACAACUAUCAUGUUCUUGGAAGUAAAGUUCCUUUGUGUCGGUUGAUAUAAUGGAUCCCAACAGAUUUAAUAAGAGAUAAUGUCUAUGUGAGAAGUGGGCAAAACAUUUCUAUUCCAGUUUUCUUCUAAUCCUAUGAUUUUUGCCUAUGAAAAAUUUCAUAGUUAAUUUUAAUUACAAAUCAUUGAUUGACUAUCUACCAUGGGAGUGAGAAAAGUGUAAAAGACAAGAAUAGCGGCCUUGAAAUACCUCCCCGAGGUAUUAGCCUUGUAAUGGCAAGAUGUCACGUUCCCUUGCCUAAAACUUUCCUCCCAUGUAAAAUAUGAAAAAAUAUCCACUUAUCCAAAUAAUUGUGGGAUUGAAUGACAUGAUACAUGUACAAUGUUUGACGCAUAAAUUACUGAAAUAGUUCUGCUCUCCACAUCAUAUUGCCACUAUUAUAAUCAUUAUCAUUUUUGUUAGCUAAGAAUUUCUCUGGUGCUAUAGAUAAAAAUAUUAGAUAGAUAAUUGUCUAAACCAAAUGUUACUUUAUUACUGCAGACUUUAUCUGUCUUCUACUCAGAAAGGCUCUCUCUCCUCACUCCUAGACACUCUGCCCUGUAUUUUGUAUGGUUCCAUACAUGUCCAUCUCUGCCCUGAACUUUACACAUGCAGGGCUCCUCCCCCAUAACAAGUCCAGGAUCCUUGUACAUCCAUGGGCACAACUACAUUUGAAAAGGAAAGGAGAGAGGAAGAGAGGAGAGCAAAAGAGGGCAUAGAAACAAGGAGUGGAAAGGAAUAACAUGGAAUUAAAAGAAAUGAGGAGAUUGGGACAUGUAACACAAACUAAGAAAGAAAGAUGAUCUCUACUAGAGAAAAGGAAAGCUUCUCAUUUCUUCUUCUCUUCCUUUUCUUUUAUUUAUUUAUUUUUUUUCAAACUUUUUGCUUAUUAAGAUUCAAAUUCUUAAGAGUAAAAGAAGUUUGGCCCAUACAUCUCAAACAAUUGACCACUUUAGAUAAGCUCUGAUUAGGAAGCAAAGUGUUUUAUUUGAACAAAGCAGUUUAAAUCCUUGAGGUUCAAUACUGUGACAUGAACUAAAGCUGGAAAUAUGAUUUGACCAUUAGGAUAUGCCAUGGUAAAAAUGAUUACAUCAUGUAACAGACGUCUUUCUUUUCAUUUACAAUUUGACUCAUUUUUUAUUGUUUUUGAUUAAUUGCAUGAUUUAUACUUACAUGGUAGUAGACCCUGAUGUUGCUUAUCCAAUGGCAAUUUCCCCUUCUUCCUUGUUAAUUGCCCCGUGAUUUGUUUUAUGUAUCUAUAAUUUUUUACAUGCCUCAGGAAAAAGUUAUCUCCAGCCCUAGCCGUUGAAGUGAAUCCUAAGUAAUCUACAGCAGUGGUGACAAUUCUAAUCCCUUCCAGUGAUUAAAUUAGGUAGCUCAGCAAUGCGUUUCCUACCAAUGAGGAAUAGAGAAAUUUUCUGGGAAACUAGGAAAUAUACUUUUGUUAUUAACAAAAAGUAACAGAGAGGAUUUCUUUCUUUCUUUCUUUCUUUUUUUGCCUGUGAACAAUAAUGGGCAUGGUUGUGAUGCUUGGAGCUACUGCAGCAAUUGAGUGACCAAAAGGUAAACUAACAAACACGCUGAGGCUGACAGGAUAAAAAGACGGAAAGCACAUGGGUUCCUAGUGGCAUUACUGGGAUAUGAAUUCACCAGCAGAACUUAUUGUGUGAGAUAAUAAACAUCUUUAUUAUUUAGCUAUUUUGAUUUUG